AAGCGGCAACAGCUCAAAUUUGAAAUCUGGCGCAAGCCCGAGUUGUAAUUUGUAGAGGAUGCUUCAGGGCAGCGGCCGGUCUAAGUUCCUUGGAACAGGACGUCGUAGAGGGUGAGAAUCCCGUAUGCGACCGGUUGGCACCCGUCACGUAGCUCCUUCGACGAGUCGAGUUGUUUGGGAAUGCAGCUCUAAAUGGGAGGUAAAUUUCUUCUAAAGCUAAAUACCGGCCAGAGACCGAUAGCGCACAAGUAGAGUGAUCGAAAGAUGAAAAGCACUUUGGAAAGAGAGUUAAAAAGCACGUGAAAUUGUUGAAAGGGAAGCGCAUGCAACCAGACUUGUCGGCGGUGUUCCGCCGGUCUUCUGACCGGUCUAUUCGCCGCCGGCAGGCCAGCAUCAUCUGGGUGCGCCGGAUAAAGGCGCGGGGAAUGUGGCUCCUCGGAGUGUUAUAGCCCCGCGCACAAUACGGCGCCGCCCGGGUGAGGUCCGCGCUUCGGCUAGGAUGCUGGCGUAAUGGUUGUCUGCGGCCCGUCUUGAAACACGGACCAAGGAGUCUAACAUCUAUGCGAGUGUUCGGGUGUCAAACCCCUACGCGUAAUGAAAGUGAACGGAGGUGGGAAGCGCAAGCUGCACCAUCGACCGAUCCUGAUGUCUUCGGAUGGAUUUGAGUAAGAGCAUAGCUGUUGGGACCCGAAAGAUGGUGAACUAUGCCUGAAUAGGGUGAAGCCAGAGGAAACUCUGGUGGA
rnacentral:rRNA from 1 species